AGAGUUUGAUCCUGGCUCAGGAUGAACGCUAGCGACAGGCUUAACACAUGCAAGUCGAGGGGCAGCGGGGAAGUAGCAAUACUUCCGCCGGCGACCGGCGCACGGGUGAGUAACACGUAUGGAACCUGCCCGUAGCAGGGGGAUAAGCGGAAGAAAUUCCGUCUAAUACCGCGUAAUAACUCCGAGAGGCAUCUCUUGGGGUUUAAAGGGUAACACCGGCUACGGAUGGCCAUGCGGCGCAUUAGCUAGUUGGCGGGGUAACGGCCCACCAAGGCGACGAUGCGUAGGGGUUCUGAGAGGAAGGUCCCCCACACUGGUACUGAGACACGGACCAGACUCCUACGGGAGGCAGCAGUGAGGAAUAUUGGUCAAUGGGCGCGAGCCUGAACCAGCCAAGUCGCGUGAGGGAAGACGGUCCUAUGGAUUGUAAACCUCUUUUGCCGGGGAGCAACGGGGUCCUUGCGAGGGCCCUAUGAGAGUACCCGGAGAAAAAGCAUCGGCUAACUCCGUGCCAGCAGCCGCGGUAAUACGGAGGAUGCGAGCGUUAUCCGGAUUUAUUGGGUUUAAAGGGUGCGUAGGCGGGCUGUUAAGUCAGCGGUCAAAUGUCGGGGCUCAACCCCGGCCUGCCCGUUGAAACUGGCGGCCUCGAGUGGGCGAGAAGUAUGCGGAAUGCGUGGUGUAGCGGUGAAAUGCAUAGAUAUCACGCAGAACUCCGAUUGCGAAGGCAGCAUACCGGCGCCCUACUGACGCUGAGGCACGAAAGCGUGGGUAUCGAACAGGAUUAGAUACCCUGGUAGUCCACGCAGUAAACGAUGAAUGCUAGCUGUCCGGUUCUACGGGACUGGGUGGCACAGCGAAAGCGUUAAGCAUUCCACCUGGGGAGUACGCCGGCAACGGUGAAACUCAAAGGAAUUGACGGGGGCCCGCACAAGCGGAGGAACAUGUGGUUUAAUUCGAUGAUACGCGAGGAACCUUACCCGGGCUCAAACGCCAAAGGACAGCCGCUGAAAGGCGGCCUCCCUCCGGGGUCUUUGGCGAGGUGCUGCAUGGUUGUCGUCAGCUCGUGCCGUGAGGUGUCGGCUUAAGUGCCAUAACGAGCGCAACCCCCAUCGACAGUUGCUAACGGGUAGAGCCGAGGACUCUGUCGAGACUGCCGGCGCAAGCUGCGAGGAAGGCGGGGAUGACGUCAAAUCAGCACGGCCCUUACGUCCGGGGCGACACACGUGUUACAAUGGCCGGUACAGCGGGAUGCCAGGGCGCGAGCCCGAGCGGAACCCGAAAACCGGUCUCAGUUCGGAUUGGAGUCUGCAACCCGACUCCAUGAAGCUGGAUUCGCUAGUAAUCGCGCAUCAGCCACGGCGCGGUGAAUACGUAACCGGGCCUUGCACACACCGCCCGUCA
rnacentral:rRNA from 1 species